rnacentral:rRNA from 1 species
UACGAAGGGGGCUAGCGUUGCUCGGAAUGACUGGGCGUAAAGGGCGCGUAGGCGGGUCAGUUAGUCAGGCGUGAAAUUCCCGGGCUUAACCUGGGGGCUGCGUUUGAUACGGCUGGCCUUGAGUGGGGAAGAGGGUCGUGGAAUUCCCAGUGUAGAGGUGAAAUUCGUAGAUAUUGGGAAGAACACCGGUGGCGAAGGCGGCGACCUGGUCCUUGACUGACGCUGAGGCGCGAAAGCGUGGGGAGCAAACAG